rnacentral:rRNA from 1 species
CCUACGGGGGGCUGCAGUGAGGCAUAUUGGUCAAUGGACGAGAGUCUGAACCAGCCAAGUAGCGUGAAGGAUGACUGCCCUAUGGGUUGUAAACUUCUUUUAUAUGGGAAUAAAACGUUCCACGUGUGGGAUUUUGUAUGUACCAUAUGAAUAAGGAUCGGCUAACUCCGUGCCAGCAGCCGCGGUAAUACGGAGGAUCCGAGCGUUAUCCGGAUUUAUUGGGUUUAAAGGGAGCGUAGGUGGAUUGUUAAGUCAGUUGUGAAAGUUUGCGGCUCAACCGUAAAAUUGCAGUUGAAACUGGCAGUCUUGAGUACAGUAGAGGUGGGCGGAAUUCGUGGUGUAGCGGUGAAAUGCUUAGAUAUCACGAAGAACUCCGAUUGCGAAGGCAGUUCACUGGACUGCAACUGACACUGAGGCUCGAAAGUGUGGGUAUCAAACAGGAUUAGAUACCCGUGUAGUC